rnacentral:rRNA from 1 species
CCUAGGCCCGAGUUGUAAUUUGCAGAGGAUGUUUCUGGCGAGGUGCCUUCCGAGUUCCCUGGAACGGGACGCCAUAGAGGGUGAGAGCCCCGUACGGUUGGUCGCUAAGCCUCUGUGAAACUCCUUCGACGAGUCGAGUAGUUUGGGAAUGCUGCUCUAAAUGGGAGGUAUACGUCUUCUAAAGCUAAAUACCGGCCAGAGACCGAUAGCGCACAAGUAGAGUGAUCGAAAGAUGAAAAGCACUUUGAAAAGAGGGUUAAAUAGUACGUGAAAUUGUUGAAAGGGAAGCGCUUAUGACCAGACUUGGACCGGUUGAUCAUCCAUCGUUCUCGGUGGUGCACUCUGCCGGUUCAGGCCAGCAUCAGUUUGUCCCGGGGGAUAAAGGCUUUGGGAAUGUGGCUCUUCGGAGUGUUAUAGCCCACUGCGUAAUACCCUGGGAUAGACUGAGGUUCGCGCUCCGCAAGGAUGCUGGCGUAAUGGUCAUCAGUGACCCGUCUUGAAACACGGACCAAGGAGUCGUCUUCGUAUGCGAGUGUUCGGGUGUCAAACCCCUACGCGUAAUGAAAGUGAACGUAGGAGAGAGCUUCGGCGCAUCUCCGACCGAUCCUGAUGUUCUCGGAUGGAUUUGAGUAAGAGCAUACGGGGCCGGACCCGAAAGAAGGUGAACUAUGCUUGUAUAGGGUGAAGCCAGAGGAAACUCUGGUGGAGGCUCGCAGCGGUUCUGACGUGCAAAUCGAUCGUCAAAUAUGAGCAUGGGGGCGAAAGACUA